rnacentral:tRNA from 1 species
AUUUAAGUAGUUUAUUAAUUAAAAUAAAGAAUUGUGAUUUCUUAGAAACCUAAGGUCUUAAGUU